GGGAUGGCGAGCGGCCUCAGCACAAGACCCUGUGGGUUCAGCGGUGCGCGGGAUGCGGGUCCGCCUCUGGCGUGCGAUGGACCACGUGGCCUUGAAUUGAGUGGCCGCCGCCGCUGUGCUGAUUCAUCCCCAGAACAACAAAGCGAUGCGCAGGUGGCCCCAUCGGAGCUGCUGGCGCCCCUCCCUGAGGCCCGGCCCCUCAGAGCCCUCAGCACCUUCGCAUGUAGCAGGCGUUUGCAAGCAUCUGGCAAGACUGCCAGCUUGGUGAUGCAAUUCAGAGGGGCAUAGGAACCUGGCAGGUGGACGACAGGGCUCGAAAGGAGACAUCGCAUUACAUCUUUCUAUGCUUCUGAUGCUUGAACUAUGUAAAUGUGCUCCCUCUUCAAGAAAUCAAAUACAUUUUAUUUUUAAAAUCAUGGCAAAAAUGUUUGAUUUGGAAAAACAGGAUUAUAUUGAAAUAAGGAAAAUACUGGUUAUAUUGAAAGAAGGUUGCUGAUUAGGAUAAUUAGAGCGGAAGUUGACAUUUGAUGCAGGCACAGUUUGAAGAUGACGGGCUUUGAACUAUUAAUUAUGUUAAAUUGCUUUCUCAGUCAGUUCUACGGUAACUCCCCUGACGAUAUAGACAGCUCCACUGUCUACUGCCCCUUCUGAGGUCUGCACUGGUUGCUGCCAGCAGAACACGGCUUGUCCCACCUGCCAUGCGCUUGGUUGAAAGAUGCUGGCCACAGGGACUCAGGUCCCUCAGUGAUGCCCGAUGGUCUCUGAGUGUCACCCCUCCUCCUUCAACUGCCCUCGGUGGGUGGUCUGAUAGUCAAGGAUGCGGCUGAGAAAAGCGUCUGGGCCUUCAUCUGAAAGAGAUUGUUUCGGUGUGUGGUUUGAAAACUCCGCUGGGCAUCCCCAGACGGAGGCAUCCCGAGAAGGAGCUCCGCUGUUUAAGAGCAUUUUGUUCCUGACGUUUUAAAGCAUAGGUGACAGCUCUCAAUCCGUGGGUUGUCAUCCUCACCUCCAGAAAACCACAUUUCUUAUUGUUUGUGGCACCUAAGUCCCCCGUCUCUAGAACUCCCCCUGUGGAAGCGAGCCUUCGGCAGAAUCUCAGAUCCACAGAGCCGGGGCCCCCACCGUCAGCUCUACCAUUUGUACCCAGGUUUGGGAUAGAUGGGAUGCAGACGGAGAUGAGAGAAUUCAGCUACCUCCCACCUCGCAAAAAGCAGCAAAGCAGAUGGUUCAUCCUGACGGACCAGCAGAACUUAGAGGAGCCAAAGCCCCAAAGACAGAGCCGUUCCUAGAACCGGGGAAUUUAGCCGUCCUUCUAGUCCUCCCUUCUGUCAGCCUCAUCCGCAGGACCACUGGCAAGGCUGAUUUCGAAUGAAUCAUCCUCGGCAUUUGCCCCCCUUCAAACUGCUUAUCCGUCACUUCAGGGAACUUGCUCCUUGUCCUCAGCGGCAUGCGGUAUCAGCUCAGACACUGUCCCCAGACCACAGAGUUGAAGAAAAUCCUGCAUUAUGUAUACAUAUACACAUGUGCAUUUAUUUCAAAUUGUCUACGUGUCGAUAAACUCAGCAGCUUGGCAGUGAAGGGCUUUACCACAGCCUUUCGGUCACUUAGCAGCCUGUGUUCGUCCAAGAGAGGUUAGAUGUGUGGCUUAGAGACGACCUUUAAAAAGCACUGAGACAUUCAUUUUCGCCACAGCUCUAGCAGCGUCACUUCUACUUAGGAGACCUGCAUAUUUCUUGACACUUUAAAAUUUUUUUUCUUGAUCCAGUAGCAUAUUGUUUAAAUUUUUUAUUUAUUUUUUAAUUACUCAAUGAAUUUUAUCACGUUCGUAGUUGCACAAUGAUCAUCACAACCCGAUUUUAUAGCAUCCUCGACACCUUCGAACGUUCGUAAACUGUGUUCAUGAUAACAUCUCCUUCUGCUUUAAGACAACGCCGGCCCCUUCAGCGAGUGUGUCUUCAAGGCACAGAGCUAGAGUGUCUUCACUUCUCAUCAAAUCCAGGCACACGCUUGACGGUGAGUGGAAAUCGGGCUUACGGCCCCCACGCCCAGCGCCCUGGUAGGCAGAGUGAGCGGGCCGCUGAGAAAGAGCUGAGCCGCCACACCUUGCCCAGGCGGUGGCCCCAGACCCACACCCUUCUUGUCGGGUCCGCAAUCCUCGAUCUGCUGCUCGGAAAUCAAAGGGCCCUGGAAAGCAAGACUUUUCAGUGGCAUGUCUGGUCCUCACGCUGAUGGUCCCAUCUCACCAAGUGGGACUGUUAAUAGCCGGGUUGCAGGUGCUGCCCCAGACCCACUGCAGGUGUGAGGUGAGGGCAUGUGCUCCCCCAGUAGGUUUCUAAAACCAAAACGUCUAACCUUUGAAACCCAUCUGGCGCCAAACUUUUUGGAUAAGGAAUCGUGAACUGCACAUUUCCUUAUAACACUAAAGACAUUCUCAAAGUCAGCGGGGGUGGUAGCAGGUUUAACAUUCUCUCUCCUGUAUGGGCGGCUGGAUGUGCUCACAACACCUUGUGCAAAAUUAUAACACGUAGCACAAC
rnacentral:lncRNA from 1 species